UGCUGUCUCGCGAGAAUAUUUGUCCUUUCGUCUGUUCAAUCGUCGGUGUACUGCAGUAGAAAUUAUGUCUUAUCAACAGGUUUCUCAUAUGUUAAAGUAUUUAUAUAGGAAUGCGGCCGAAAACAACCGCCUAGAACCCGCGGCAGUUCAUCCACUAUGAAAGCGGUUGCGGUUCUUCCUUUCCGGCUGUGUACUUCGCUGACUUGGAGAAAUGAGGUCAAAUGGUGAUUAAGAGAGAGAGAGAGGCACAGAAGCUCUGAGAUGACCUCAACAGGUGAAGUGAAUGAUGACAUGGAUGCAGAACCAACUGACAGCUGGUCCAGAACCCUGAAGCUUUGUGUGCUUUGAUUUUCUGUUUGAUGCAUGAUAUAUAUUUUAAUAUUAACACCAGUCUUGCCUUAAAUUUAUCUAUUUUACAUUCAGUAUCUUUAACUUCUGUUGUUAUUGCAAAUACAUUAUUUUGUAUUCAUAUUUGUCUUACAAUAGCUACACAAUAUCACCAUUUCCCUCAAAUAUUGUUCACAAACCAUUCUAAAUCUGUGAUAGUGAGCACUUCUCCUUUGCUGAGAUAAUCCAUCCCACCUCACAGGUGUGCCAUAUCAAGAUGCUGA